UAUUGUGUAUUUGUGUCAAAAACGGUAUGUGUUAAAAAUUGUAGUGUGUUAAACUAACACAAAGUUUGUGUCACUUUAUUUUGUAACAUAAAAAAUGUGUGAUACACUCUUUACUAACACAUUUUGUGUGUUACUGUGGAAUUAACACAAAGUUUGUGUCAAAAUCUCCAUCAAUAUAACAUUAACUUUGUGUUAACAGUGCGUCGGUUCUUUACUUGAUAAAGUUAUUUAAUCUAAAAAUUAACAAUAAAGUGAGUUUAUAAUACGAACACAAAAAUUGAUGUAAUCAACGAUGAGUGGUAAUUCAUCUAACAUUGAAAAUUUUGAUGUAAAUCGAAAUCAAAAAGUGACUGUCAUGUUUAUUCUGGAGUGGAAUAACACUAAAGUUUGGGCCAAACUAAAUUUGCCGGUUACGUUUAACGACUUUGUUUUAAAAGCUCACGGGGUAUUCCCGAACUUGAAUAAUUUGGAUUUUUUCUUUGUCGAUUCAAACGACGCUAGACUAGAUACGAUCCUCGUACUACGUUCUAACCAGUACUAAAAGUUGGGAACUGCAUAGGUUUAAUGAAGAUC